rnacentral:rRNA from 1 species
AUUGAACGCUGGCGGCAUGCCUUACACAUGCAAGUCGAACGGCAGCACGGGUGCUUGCCCCUGGUGGCGAGUGGCGAACGGGUGAGUAAUACAUCGGAACAUGUCCUGUCGUGGGGGAUAGCCCGGCGAAAGCCGGAUUAAUACCGCAUACGAUCUACGGAUGAAAGCGGGGGACCUUCGGGUCUCGCGCUUUAGGGUUGGCCGAUGGCUGAUUAGCUAGUUGGUGGGGUAAAGGCCUACCAAGGCGACGAUCAGUAGCUGGUCUGAGAGGACGACCAGCCACACUGGGACUGAGACACGGCCCAGACUCCUACGGGAGGCAGCAGUGGGGAAUUUUGGACAAUGGGCGAAAGCCUGAUCCAGCAAUGCCGCGUGUGUGAAGAAGGCCUUCGGGUUGUAAAGCACUUUUGUCCGGAAAGAAAUCCUUGGCCCUAAUACGGUCGGGGGAUGACGGUACCGGAAGAAUAAGCACCGGCUAACUACGUG